rnacentral:rRNA from 1 species
GUGGGGAAUUUUGGACAAUGGGCGCAAGCCUGAUCCAGCAAUGCCGCGUGCAGGAAGAAGGCCUUCGGGUUGUAAACUGCUUUUGUACGGAACGAAACGGUCCGGGUUAAUACCCUGGGCUAAUGACGGUACCGUAAGAAUAAGCACCGGCUAACUACGUGCCAGCAGCCGCGGUAAUACGUAGGGUGCAAGCGUUAAUCGGAAUUACUGGGCGUAAAGCGUGCGCAGGCGGUUUGGUAAGACAGGCGUGAAAUCCCCGGGCUCAACCUGGGAAUUGCGCUUGGGACUGCAAGGCUGGAGUGCGGCAGAGGGGGAUGGAAUUCCGCGUGUAGCAGUGAAAUGCGUAGAUAUGCGGAGGAACACCGAUGGCGAAGGCAAUCCCCUGGGCCUGCACUGACGCUCAUGCACGAAAGCGUGGGGAGCAAACAGGAUUAGAAACCCCAGUAGUCC